UACGUAGGGUGCAAGCGUUGUCCGGAAUUAUUGGGCGUAAAGAGCUCGUAGGCGGUCUGUCGCGUCGGCUGUGAAAACCCGGAGCUCAACUCCGGGCCUGCAGUCGAUACUGGCAGACUGGAGUUCGGCAGGGGAGACUGGAAUUCCUGGUGUAGCGGUGAAAUGCGCAGAUAUCAGGAGGAACACCGGUGGCGAAGGCGGGUCUCUGGGCCGAUACUGACGCUGAGGAGCGAAAGCGUGGGGAGCGAACAGG
rnacentral:rRNA from 1 species